rnacentral:misc_RNA from 1 species
AAGUCGUAACAAGGUUUCCGUAGGUGAACCUGCGGAAGGAUCAUUACUGAGUUUUGAAAAGGGUUGUAGCUGGUCUUUUAAUAAGACAUGUGCACGCUCUGCUCAUCCACUCUUAACCCUAUGUGCACCUGUGUAGAGGUUUGGUGAAUCUUGGCCGAAAGGCUGAUAGGAUCCUACUUCUAUGUCUUUUAUACAAACGCUUUAGUUAUAGAAUGUUAUCUUGUGUUUAACACAUUAUAAUAUAACUUUCAGCAACGGAUCUCUUGGCUCUC